rnacentral:rRNA from 1 species
AUUGAACGCUGGCGGCAGGCCUAACACAUGCAAGUCGAACGGUAACAGGAGGCAGUUUGCUGUUUCGCGGUCGCGGGGCGCGGGGGAGUGACAUGUGUGUGACCUAGCUAUAUGAAUGGGAUAAACCCGGGAAACCGGUGCCCAUUCCCGCUAACCGUUUCAACCGCAAAGCGCGAGACCGACAGGCGUCUUUGCUGUCGCUGUGAGAUGAAGCCGGGCCGGAUUAGCUGGGUGGUGGGGUAACGGCUCACCAAGUCAACGAUCCGUAGCUGACCUGAGAGGAUGACCGGCCACACUGGAACUGAGACACGGUCCAGACUCCUACGGGAGGCAGCAGUGGGGAAUAUUGCACAAUGGGCGCAAGCCUGAUGCAGCAAUGCCGCGUGAAUGAAGAAGGCCUUCGGGUUGUAAAAUGCUUUUAUACGGGAAGAAGAGAGGCGGGUUAAUACCUGCGCGUAUUGACGGUACCCAAAGAAGAAGCACCGGCUAACUACGUG